GCAAUUCUGCGAUUUCAAUUUUCUUUUUUUCUUCUCUCUCCUUCGACUUUAGUUCCCAACUUCUCAUCCUCUUCGUUCACUGUUUCUUUUCGUAGAAAGCAAUGGAAACCUAAGCUUGAAUUCUGAAAAAAAAUCCUAUACUAGAAAAAAUUGUGAUUUGUGAUCAAAGAAUCUCCAACAAUUUUUCUCCUCACCCUCUUUAUUCUUUGCAACUUGAAAAGGCCAUAUACAAAUGUUCUCCUGCAACUUGAAAAAAACCUAGGUUUUAAAUUUUGGGUUUCUCGAAGAACAACAUGAAGCGAGACGCAUGAAUAUUGAUUUGGAAAUUGAAUUAGAGUUUCAGCAGCAGCGGUUGGUGAAUUAACAAUUCAGAGAAGCUUAAUGUUUGGGUGCAGAAAACUCAAUGCUGAUGGUUUGCGUUGAAGAUUGCAAACAAAAUCAGAGCAUGUCAGAAAUUUGCUGCAUACAUAGUCGUUCCAAUGUGGUCCGAAGGUAUUCCAGUAGGUACUGCUACACAAAGAGUUCUUUUUGACAGCAUAAAACAAAAUGAUGUAUGAGACUGUUUAUAAAGCUCUGAAAGACGUUGGCCAUGAUGGUGUUAAGCAUCCAACAAAGAGGUUUAAUGUCUGAAAUUGAAAGUGAACGAAUCCGUGAAAGAGAUUGUAUUGAAUGGAAUGGCAGGCACAUCGCGCGUGCGUGUUAUACUAGUGAUGGGAUAAUGUUUUUUUCUAUUGCUGCUUUAGUGAACUGUCGACGACGUUCUAUCCAGUCAUUUCAGUACGUAUCAAUGGUACCUUGAUGUACAUUGACAGCUAGCCCCGGCUACCUAACGAGCUAGAAGUGGUUGAAAUUCCAGUAGGCUGUUUGAUUUUGAUUUAUUUUUUUUUUAAGUAAAAGGGUAUAGGUAUAUAAAGAAAAAUAUCUACAGAUGGCCACGGAUCCCUAAUUGGUCGGAUUACAUCAUUACAAAAGAAUUAAAAGCCUAUUACAAGGGCUUCAAAUA